rnacentral:rRNA from 1 species
UCCAGUGAUCGGGUCGGUUGGCCUGUUNACUGAUGCUUGUGCGGUUUCGUCCGUGGCUGGCAGAGCUCACGCUGAAGCUGGACUAGUGACAAGACUGCCUUGUGGACGUUUUCAGGUGUGUGCUUUGUCUUCGGGCUUAGUAUCCUGACCGACAUCAAAACGAUCGAACUGGAACUGGUACGGAC